rnacentral:rRNA from 1 species
AGUGAACGCUGGCGGUAGGCCUAACACAUGCAAGUCGAACGGCAGCACAGUAAGAGCUUGCUCUUACGGGUGGCGAGUGGCGGACGGGUGAGGAAUACAUCGGAAUCUACUUUUUCGUGGGGGAUAACGUAGGGAAACUUACGCUAAUACCGCAUACGACCUACGGGUGAAAGCAGGGGAUCUUCGGACCUUGCGCGAUUGAAUGAGCCGAUGUCGGAUUAGCUAGUUGGCGGGGUAAAGGCCCACCAAGGCGACGAUCCGUAGCUGGUCUGAGAGGAUGACUGGCCCCACUGGAAAUGGCACACGUUCCAAACCCCUACGGGAGGCAGAAGGGGGGAAUUUGGGAAAUGGGGCGCAAGCCGGCCCCAACCAACCCGGGGGGGUGAAGAAGGCCUUGGGGUUUUAAAGCCUUUUUUUUGGGAAAAAAAAGAAGCCGGUUAACCCCCCGCUUUUUUGGCGGUCCCCAAAAAAAAAGCCCCGGCAAAUUUCGU